UACGUAGGGAGCAAGCGUUGUCCGGAAUCAUUGGGCGUAAAGCGCGCGUAGGCGGCCCGAUAAGUCCGUUGUGAAAGUCAAAGGCUCAACCUUUGAAUGCCGAUGGAUACUGUCGGGCUAGAGUCCGGAAGAGGCGAGUGGAAUUUCUGGUGUAGCGGUGGAAUGCGCAGAUAUCAGGAGGAACACCAAUAGCGAAGGCAGCUCGCUGGGACGGUACUGACGCUAAGGCGCGAAAGCGUGGGGAGCGAACAGG
rnacentral:rRNA from 1 species